rnacentral:tRNA from 4 species
GCGCCCUUAGCUCAGUUGGAUAGAGCGUCUGGCUACGAACCAGGAGGUCGCAAGUUCGAGUCUUGCAGGGCGCACCA